rnacentral:rRNA from 1 species
AGAGUUUGAUCCUGGCUCAGGAUGAACGCUAGCGGCAGGCUUAACACAUGCAAGUCGAGGGGCAUCGGGAGGGAAGCUUGCUUUCCUUGCCGGCGACCGGCGCACGGGUGAGUAACACGUAUGCAACCUGCCCUCUUCAGGGGGACAACCUUCCGAAAGGGAGGCUAAUCCCGCGUAUAUCGGUUUCGGGCAUCCGAGAUCGAGGAAAGAUUCAUCGGAAGAGGAUGGGCAUGCGGCGCAUUAGCUUGACGGCGGGGUAACGGCCCACCGUGGCGACGAUGCGUAGGGGUUCUGAGAGGAAGGUCCCCCACACUGGUACUGAGACACGGACCAGACUCCUACGGGAGGCAGCAGUGAGGAAUAUUGGUCAAUGGGAGAGAUCCUGAACCAGCCAAGCCGCGUGAGGGAAGACGGCCCUAUGGGUUGUAAACCUCUUUUGUCGGAGAACAAAACCCGGGACGUGUCCCGGACUGCGUGUAUCCGAAGAAAAGCAUCGGCUAACUCCGUG